GACGUAGGGUGCGAGCGUUGUCCGGAUUUAUUGGGCGUAAAGAGCUCGUAGGCGGCUCGUCGCGUCGACCGUGAAAACCCGCGGCUUAACUGCGGGCUUGCGGUUGAUACGGGCGGGCUAGAGUUCGGUAGGGGAGACUGGAAUUCCUGGUGUAGCGGUGAAAUGCGCAGAUAUCAGGAGGAACACCGGUGGCGAAGGCGGGUCUCUGGGCCGACAUUGACGCUGAGGAGCGAAAGCGUGGGGAGCGAACAGG
rnacentral:rRNA from 1 species